rnacentral:lncRNA from 1 species
CCUGGAGUCCUCGCUCGGUCAGUGCCCUGAGCUCUCCGUCUGAUUUUUAAAAACUGGCACAGCUGCUUUUAAACACCGGCACAUUUUUGGUGGCACAAGGGCCACCAAACAGGACCCAAAGUACAGGUCCUUAACUUCCAAGAUCCCGAAGUGGACAUGCACAGAUUUGCGCUCUCUGGAAAGGGGAACUGCAAGCCCAAGCUCGGGCGCGCCGCGCUUCCCACCGGACACCCACCCGGCCGAGCCCGGCCACUCCUCGCACCCACCCGGGCGGUUUCACCCGCCCCGCCAGCCCCACCCACGGGCUGCGGGCGGCCCCGCAGGACAACCCUCACAGAGGGCGGCAGAGGCCCGGCCCAGCCAGGCCAUGUCCCUAGUCUCUGGCUUGCGGCUGAUUUUUAAAUUUUUUGUAGAGGCCGGAUCUUGCUCUGUUGCCCAGGCUGGUCUCGAACUUGUGGCCUCAAGCGAUCCUCCCUCCUGGGUCUCCCGAAGUGCGGGGAUUACAGACAGAGCCACUGCGCACGGCCGUGGUCAGCUUUGAAAGCUGGGUAGAUCCCUUUGGCUUAUACGCCUUUCUGCUAGCUUACCCUGAUUCUGCUUCUGGUUCAGAUAGUAUUUUAAUAUUUCUAGUGUGUCUUUUUGUAAGAUACCUGAAAUCUUUUUGUGGAAUGAAGUGGCAUGAAAAAUAAACCAAUAAUCAUUAGUAAGUAUGUUUCCUGUCUUUUCACUUUAUUAAAAUCUUCGUCUUGUGCAUCAUGUUUAACAAUUUUAUUUUAAUAAAUUUGCAAGGGUUCAGUCCCAUUUUAUUGAUAUUUGGGUUGUUUCCCAUUUUUGCUCUAGAACAUCAGCUCCUCUCCGGGUCUGCAGCUGCACGACCCUCAAUCUAGAACAUCAGCUCCUCCCCGGGUCUUCAGCUGCAUGACCCUCAAACUAGAACAUCAGCUCCUCUCCAGGUCUGCAGCUGCACGACCCUCAAUCUAGAACAUCAGCUCCUCCCCGGGUCUUCAGCUGCACGACCCUCAAACUAGAACAUCAGCUCCUCUCCAGGUCUGCAGCUGCACGACCCUCAAUCUAGAACAUCAGCUCCUCCCCGGGUCUUCAGCUGCAUGACCCUCAAACUAGAACAUCAGCUCCUCUCCAGGUCUGCAGCUGCACGACCCUCAAUCUAGAACAUCAGCUCCUCUCCGGGUCUGCAGCUGCAUGACCCUCAAACUAGAACAUCAGCUCCUCCCCGGGUCUUCAGCUGCAUGACCCUCAAUCUAGAACAUCAGCUCCUCUCCAGGUCUGCAGCUGCACGACCCUCAAUCUAGAACAUCAGCUCCUCUCCGGGUCUGCAGCUGCAUGACCCUCAAACUAGAACAUCAGCUCCUCCCCGGGUCUUCAGCUGCAUGACCCUCAAUCUAGAACAUCAGCUCCUCUCCAGGUCUGCAGCUGCACGACCCUCAAUCUAGAACAUCAGCUCCUCUCCGGGUCUGCAGCUGCAUGACCCUCAAACUAGAACAUCAGCUCCUCCCCGGGUCUUCAGCUGCAUGACCCUCAAACUAGAACAUCAGCUCCUCUCCAGGUCUGCAGCUGCACGACCCUCAAUCUAGAACAUCAGCUCCUCUCCGGGUCUGCAUCUGCACGACCCUCAAAUGAGAACAUCAGCUCCUCCCCGGGUUUGCAGGUGCACGACACUCAAUCUAGAACAUCAGCUCCUCUCCGGGUCUGCAGGUGCACGACCCUCAAUCUAGAACAUCAGCUCCUCUCCAGGUCUGCAGCUGCACGACCCUCAAUCUAGAACAUCAGCUCCUCUCCGGGUCUGCAGCUGCAUGACCCUCAAACUAGA